rnacentral:snRNA from 1 species
GGGAUUUACACAAGGUUAAAUUCA